CCCACUCAAGGCACACAGCAUGGGUGCCCUGCUCUGAUCUUGGCGUCUCUUGUCCUGGGUCUGCUGAGGCUGGGUGAGGACGCGAUGGAAGGAGAUUGGUGCCAGCUGGAAGAGCACGUGCAAGAACUGGGUUUCACUAACCGACUUGCAUUUGGAGGGGACAAUGCGUCUGAGCAGAUGUUUUACAACGGUGGCCUGGUUCAUCCCAUUGUUCUUCGUCUUUGGUCCCCAUAACUUCCCGUCCCAGAUGGAGCUGCUCCUUCAGCCAUGAUCGCAAAAUGAAGAUGAUGUGUGAAGAAGAGCCACAGCCGACCUGUGGUCAAUGUGUAAGGACCUGGCCUGAGGGAAGGAGGAGGCACCUUUGACUGAAACAGGACCAACAGCAGGAGCAGCAGGUUUGGAUGGAGAAGCAAGUCUGGGUCCGGACCUAAUUGCUCGCUUCUGUGUGUCUCGCGGUCAACACACUAAAUUUCUUGAGAGUUGGGACCAGUUCUAGGCACUUUUUUUCACUCAAGGGCUGAAAUAUCUGUUGAAAGAAUAAAUAAGUGAAUGGAUAACUCCAGUAGGCCUGUUACAUUUCCUUGGAGUUCAUCCCAUUGAUGCUACGGUUUUCCAACUUCUGGAUCCAAAAGAAUCACCCGGAAGCUGGUAUAAUUCAGCCAAUCUGAGUCUGUUCCUUGUUCUUCCCUCCCCCACUGAAAACAUAAAUAGUAGCAUUGUUCUGCCUCCUUCCUGUUUUUUUUACUUUGCAAGAUAUCCUGGUGAUCUUUCCACAGAAGGACAUAGCAAGCUUCCCCACUCAUUCAUUCAUUCAUUCAUUCAUUCCUUCAUUUAUUCACAGCCGCGCAGCAUUCCAUUGCAUGCACACACCAUGAAUUUUGAACCUGUCCUCAGGGCAUGGGCCUUUACAGUGUUUUCACCUCUUUCUUGCAAACUGUACUGCCCUGAGUGGCUGUGUCCGUGCCACUCCCCACGUCUGUGAUGGUAUCAGUUCCAUACAUUCCUAGAAGCUGACGUGCGAGGCCAAAGGGCAUGCACAUUUGUGCUUUUAGGGGAUGUUGCCAAAUGGUCAUCCAGCGCUCUUGCCAGCAAAGGAGGGUGGUGGCCGUGCUUCCUGCCCACAGACGUUCGUGGUAGUGACCUGAAGCCUUUAACAUUUCAGAUGCGAAG
ensembl:lncRNA